AAAAAAGGUUUGUAAAGGUAGAAUUAUAAUUCAUAAUUGUCUUAACAAUCUGUGCUUUGCUUUGACGUUCCUGUUUAACCAAUUUUAUUAGAUUCUCCUUUUGCAAUAAUUGCUGGAGGAUGAUAAGAUCGAAAGAGCUAGGUGUUCCUUCAAACCAGGAAAGGUAGAAAUAUGUCCACAAGUAAUAAUCUGCGCAAAAUGCGCAAAAUGUUUCGAUAUGGAUAAAUUAUUCUUCAUAUUUCCUCUUUGUUGUGGUUUUGAACUUUGUUUGAUUUGCUGCUUUCAGCUGUGUGGUGGCUUAACCAUUCAACAUGCUUUCUAUGUAAAUGAACUGGUAGUUGUUUUUCU
rnacentral:misc_RNA from 1 species